rnacentral:rRNA from 1 species
GAUGAACGCUGGCGGCGUGCUUAACACAUGCAAGUCGAACGGAAAGGCCCAAGCUUGCUUGGGUACUCGAGUGGCGAACGGGUGAGUAACACGUGGGUGGUCUGCCCUGCACUUCGGGAUAAGCCUGGGAAACUGGGUCUAAUACCGGAUAGGACGAUGGUUUGGAUGCCAUUGUGGAAAGUUUUUUCGGUGUGGGAUGAGCUCGCGGCCUAUCAGCUUGUUGGUGGGGUAAUGGCCUACCAAGGCGUCGACGGGUAGCCGGCCUGAGAGGGUGUACGGCCACAUUGGGACUGAGAUACGGCCCAGACUCCUACGGGAGGCAGCAGUGGGGAAUAUUGCACAAUGGGCGCAAGCCUGAUGCAGCGACGCCGCGUGGGGGAUGACGGCCUUCGGGUUGUAAACUCCUUUCGCUAGGGACGAAGCGUUUUUGUGACGGUACCUGGAGAAGAAGCACCGGCUAACUACGUG